AUGACAGCAGGGUGGUCAGGAAUCAACAAUGGCUCUCUCCGGGUACCGGCUGGAUCUGUCAAAGUUAAUGUUGAUGGAGCAGUAGCGCGAAGCAGAAGGGGCGGAGCUGUGGCUGCAUUAUGUCGAGAUGAGAAGGGCAACUACCUGGGGUCCUCGGCAGUGGUCUAUGGAGGUAUCACUGAUCCCACGGUCUUGGAAACCUUUGCUUGCAGAGAGGGACUAGCUUUGGCUGAAGAUCUAAAUGUUCAUGAGGUGGUUCUGGCUUCAGAUUGUGAAGGAGUUGUCAAUGACAUCAAUGGUGGAACAAGUGGACCGAAUGCAGCAAUCAUACAUGAAAUAUCAGCUCGUAGUUCUGGUUUUGCUUUCUGCAAGUUUAUUUUUAAGCAUAGAAACUUUAAUUUUGAGGCUCAUAAUCUCGCAAAGUAUGCAUUUAAUUUAGGCAUAGGUACCUAUGAACAUCUCUCUGAAUCAAUAAAGCUUGCGAGAUCUCUCAAAAAAAAGCUCGUCUUUAGCACCAUGGCCGACGAUGUUGUUGCGCCAGACUUUUCGGUGACCUAA
rnacentral:rRNA from 1 species